CUCCGACUUGGAUAUUUAGAAAAUACUGUUUAAACAGUAUAAUAUACUAUAUAGAUACAUAUUAUAACAUACUAUAUCGAUACACAGCCAAACUUACAAGGUAAGUAAAGCUCCGGCUUGGAUAUUUAGAAAAUACUGUUUAAACAGUAUGACCAAAUAUCUUAAUACACAGCCAAACUUACAAGGUAAGUAAAGCUCCGGCUUGGAUAUUUAGAAAAUACUGUUUAAACGGUAUGACCAAAUAUCUAGAUAUACAGCCAAACUUACAAGGGAGUAGAACACAAUUUAGAUAUUAAGCAAAUACCGUUAGAACGCUCGAAACCAAAUAUCUAGAUACUCAGAUUUUAUUUCAAAUAUGUCGGAUUCAUACCUUCUCAGAUAUACUGCCAUAGAAAAUGAUACUUAACCAAAUUUUUGUCUUAGAUAAGACUUCUUUAGGCAGCAUUUUGGUGGUGGAGUCGCAUUGCGGCUUUAAUCCUCAGCUCCUGUUCAUUUCAUUUCAUUUCUUUAAUAAUUAAUUGUGUUUUUUUAUUCUUUUUUUUUUAAGAAAGUGCUUUUCUGUUGCGUUAGGUACUCUUGCAAUGGCACUCGCCAAGCAAAUGCACAAAGCAAAUAAAGAUAAAUAUUACUACUUACUUUUCUCCACGGGAGUUCAUUAUUGCAAUUUCUUUUUCUCUUGUCAUCUUCUUUCUCAUCCGUAAAUCAUCGCUAGUUUUUUUUACCCCUUUCUUCAUUUUUCCCCAAAACAAUAAAACAUUGUUUAGCGCAGACCUCUUAAUUACAAUUUAUUAAAAAUAGUACAAUUGAAUGCAAUAUUGUAGAACAUUCAAUUAACAGAAGAUCAAGUGACUUUUUGUUGCUUAUAUAUCUUAAUAAAAUUAAUAGGUUUUUGCACCCUGUUUUGAUCUACGCUCAAGCGGAACCUUUUUUUUUUAUUACAUUUUAGAAAAACAAAUUUAAAGCUUAAAAAACAUCAAUAUAUUCUACAAUGAUUUCCUCAUGUUUCCUUUGCUUUCGUUAAGGCCGUGUAUAAAAGGACACCCUACUUUUUUGCUGAGGGUUUGUUUCGUCUUUUCUAGACCACAGUUGAUAAAUGCGCAAUUAUCUCCCACACCUAACGAGUUACUAAUGAUGCUUCAAUAAAUCAUCUGUUCUAUUCCCAUACACUAGCUUGUUAAUAUAUCUAGAGAUCUAUGAGAUGUGAAUCCUUUGAUCAAGGCCGCCUCUUCCCACAUAUCCUUCUACGAAAUCAUUUAGAUAUCAACAAAUUCUUUUGGGUGCACCUCACAGCACAGUGUAUAAAAGCAAGCGAAUAUAUCAUAUCAUGAGCUUAAAAGCAAAAUCUCUCGCCUCUGUAACUUAAAGAGCGUUUAUAAUGAAACCCUUAAUGUUAAAGUCUCUACCUAUUCAUUUGCUCAAGAGCAUCCUUAUUUGGAGAUCUUCAAGAUUUUAAUCUUUCAAUGACCAAGCCCAAAUUUCUAAAGAAACUCUUCCAGCGCUAAGAGCUAUACUAUCUUUUAACAAUGAAUACAUCAAUUUUGGAAACAUAGUUGUUCACUGAGCGUGCAAAGGCUCCUGUUCUUAGUAAUCCGCUAUUCACUGGGAAUUCCAUACUUGACUGCCACGACCUCUCUGUUUACGGCAAAGACCCCAAGCACCUUAGAUCCGACGAUUAACUUCGUUAAACGCCCCUGCACGACUUGCGUCAUAACAAGUAUGAACUAGACACCAAGAGAACAUACGAAUUAUCUAGCUCAAAAAUGAAAAUGCUCUUAUAUUCUUUAAGUUGAAAAGCGGUCGUUUCAGCCAUAGUCGGGCAUACACCGCUGUUAAUGAUGGAUCUUUGAGCGUGAACUUUUGGCAUGUAUUGGCUUUUUGUUGAAAGCCCAUGCCUUGAGUUGGUGGUUUUGUAAGUUUCAAAAGAAAUAAAAGGGCUACAAAUUCAUAUCUCGAUUAACAGUUUUUAGAUAAACGUGGUGUCUUCUUCGAAAAAAAUUUUACAGAGUCAAUAUUGUUAACGUAUUCUUAUGUUUCGCAUUUCGUUUAUACGCUACCUCAUCUCGAUCUUGCCUGCGAACUUGGGAUUAAUCUUGAAGACUGGGGAUUAAGCGAUUGACCAUGCAGUUUAUAUUUGCCUUUUCUUGUCAAUCACAACGCCAAAAAAUGAUGAAGCAGAGACUCAUUUUUAUUACACUUAUUACACUGGUAUUAAUAAAGAUCACAAAUUGCAAGCUAGAAAGAAGUCUGGUGUAAUUGUAGGCACUUAAAAAGUGAUUGAAUGGAAAGUUGUGGCAAGAAACCCCUCAACAAAAGUUUUUAAAGAUGAAACGUAAGACAUUUUUUUUCUUCUAAAUGUCUUUUGAUAUGCAGCGCAAAAACCUUUUCCCAAAUGAACAUCUUUUAAAACGCAAAAAGGCUACACCCCCUGACAGCUAUUGAUUGAUAUCAAAAAAGCAGUAUUGGAUCGUUAACACCUAGACGGCUUUUCGCAGAUUAACUCUCAGGAUUUAGAAUUUAAAUGGUUUUCGC